AACGAACGCUGGCGGCAUGCCUAACACAUGCAAGUCGAACGAGACCUUCGGGUCUAGUGGCGCACGGGUGCGUAACGCGUGGGAACCUGCCCUUAGGUUCGGAAUAACUCCCCGACAGGGGUGCUAAUACCGGAUAAUGUCUUCGGACCAAAGAUUUAUCGCCUUUGGAUGGGCCCGCGUUGGAUUAGCUAGUUGGUAGGGUAAAAGCCUACCAAGGGGACGAUCCAUAGCUGGUCUGAGAGGAUGAUCAGCCACACUGGGACUGAGACACGGCCCAGACUCCUACGGGAGGCAGCAGUGGGGAAUAGUGGACAAUGGGCGAAAGCCUGAUCCAGCAAUGCCGCGUGAGUGAUGAAGGCCUUAGGGUUGUAAAGCUCUUUUACCCGGGAUGAUAAUGACAGUACCGGGAGAAUAAGCUCCGGCUAACUCCGUG
rnacentral:rRNA from 1 species